rnacentral:misc_RNA from 1 species
UUUCCGUAGGUGAACCUGCGGAAGGAUCAUUAUUGUAUAACCGAGGUGCGAGGGCUGUCGCUGACCCGAAAGGUCGUGCACGCCCGAGUGCCCUCACACACAUUCAUCUCACCCCUAUGUGCACCACCGCGUGGGUCCCCCUUUGGCUUGUUCGGAGGGGGGCUUACGUUUUCACACAAACUUUGUAUGCAGUGUAGAAUGUAUUUUUUUUUUUUGCGAUCACGCAAUCAAUACAACUUUCAACAACGGAUCUCUUGGCUCUC